GACGAACGCUGGCGGCGUGCCUAAUACAUGCAAGUAGAACGCUGAAGGAGGAGCUUGCUUCUAUGGAUGAGUUGCGAACGGGUGAGUAACGCGUAGGUAACCUGCCUGGUAGCGGGGGAUAACUAUUGGAAACGAUAGCUAAUACCGCAUAAGAGUAGAUGUUGCAUGACAUUUGCUUAAAAGGUGCAAUUGCAUCACUACCAGAUGGACCUGCGUUGUAUUAGCUAGUUGGUGAGGUAACGGCUCACCAAGGCAACGAUACAUAGCCGACCUGAGAGGGUGAUCGGCCACACUGGGAGUGAGACACGGCCCAGACUCCUACGGGAGGCAGCAGUAGGGAAUCUUCGGCAAUGGACGGGAGUCUGACCGAGCAACACCGCGUGAGUGAAGAAGGUUUUCGGAUCGUAAAGCUCUGUUGUAAGAGAAGAACGAGUGUGAGAGUGGAAAGUUCACACUGUGACGGUAUCUUACCAGAAAGGGACGGCUAACUACGUG
rnacentral:rRNA from 1 species